AUUGAACGCUGGCGGCAUGCCUUACACAUGCAAGUCGAACGGCAGCACGGGUGCUUGCACCUGGUGGCGAGUGGCGAACGGGUGAGUAAUAUAUCGGAACGUACCUUAUUGUAGGGGAUAACGCAGCGAAAGCUGUGCUAAUACCGCAUAAUCCCUAAGGGGGAAAGCGGGGGACCGUAAGGCCUCGCGCAAUUAGAGCGGCCGAUACCUGAUUAGCUAGUUGGUGAGGUAAAGGCUCACCAGGGCAACGAUCAGUAGCUGGUCUGAGAGGACGAUCAGCCCCACUGGGACUGAGACACGGCCCAGACUCCUACGGGAGGCAGCAGUGGGGAAUUUUGGACAAUGGGGGCAACCCUGAUCCAGCAAUGCCGCGUGAGUGAAGAAGGCCUUCGGGUUGUAAAGCUCUUUUGUCAGGGAAGAAACAGCAGCUCUAACACAGUUUGCGAAUGACGGUACCUGAAGAAUAAGCACCGGCUAACUACGUGCCAGCAGCCGCAGUAA
rnacentral:rRNA from 1 species